ACCUACGGGGGGCAGCAGUGAGGAAUAUUGGUCAAUGGUCGGGAGACUGAACCAGCCAAGCCGCGUGAGGGAGGAAGGUACAGAGUAUCGUAAACCUCUUUUGUCAGGGAACAAAGGCGGGGACGUGUCCCCGGAUGAGUGUACCCGAAGAAAAAGCAUCGGCUAACUCCGUGCCAGCAGCCGCGGUAAUACGGAGGAUGCGAGCGUUAUCCGGAUUUAUUGGGUUUAAAGGGAGCGUAGACGGCGAAGCAAGUCUGAAGUGAAAACCCAGGGCUCAACCCUGGG
rnacentral:rRNA from 1 species